rnacentral:rRNA from 1 species
UCAGACGAUGCGUCAUGCAUAUCAAUAAGCGGAGGAAAAGAAACUAACAAGGAUUCCCCUAGUAACGGCGAGUGAAGCGGGAAGAGCUCAAAUUUGAAAUCUUAAAGGGUUUCCCUUUACGAAUUGUAGUUUAAAGAAGUGUUUUCUGUUGAGGUUUUGGUAAAAGUUCUUUGGAAUAGGACAUCAUAGAGGGUGAGAAUCCCGUAUUUGACCUUUACUUUCAACUUUGUGAUACACUUUCAAAGAGUCGGAUUGUUUGGGAAUGCAGUCCAAAAUGGGUGGUAAAUUUCAUCUAAAGCUAAAUAUUGGCGAGAGACCGAUAGCGAACAAGUACCGUGAGAGAAAGAUGAAAAGAACUUUGAAAAGAGAGUUAAACAGUACGUGGAAUUGUCAAAAGGGAAGCGUUUGACACCAGUGUUGUUUUUCUGAAAAUCAAUUAAAGAACUGUUUAUGCUAAGCUGUUUAGACUUUAUCAGCUAUCUGUUUAGUUUUGAGCUUUUCUUUAAUGCACUUUUCAGUUAACAAGUCAACAUCAAUUUCUUUUGCUGUAAAAAAGCUUGAGGAAGGUGGCUUGAGAUUCGUCUUAAGUGUUUAUAGCCUCUUGCCUAUGCAGUCGGAGAGAUUGAGGUCUGCAGCGUAGAUCCUUCGGGGCUAAAUGCAUUUGUGCUAAGUUAUAGCAUUUUAUAGACAACUUGUUGACUAUGAUUUGUCUUGUAGCUUACUCGCUUAUGUUAUUUUACCUACGCUUAGGAUGUUGAAUCUGUGCGAGACUAC